UGGGGUCUUAAAAAUGUUUAGCAAACUUAUUUCAAAAUUAGAUGUGUAUUUAAUUAGUCUUGGAUAUUUUUAUGAAAAACAAGUAGCGUUAGUUUCGUUCAAUAAUGUAUUAUUCCUCUGUUUUAAUUUGAAAUAGUUCAUUUUGAAAAAUAAACUUUCACAUAAUAUUAUAUAUACUGAUGCAAAAAUUGAGUUUAUUUGGAAUGAACCUAUUUUUUCAAAGUAAACAAUAUCAUACCUGGAAACAGUGGAAAUAUGCAAGUAGUGCAACAUUAAAUAAUGAAAAAAAAAUAUUUUUGUAUAUCAUGGGAAUAUGGCCAAUAUGCACACGUACCAUAGAUUCACCAUCCCUGAGCCCUGAUCUAGACACUACUAGUAGGCAGUAGUAAUUUAACUAAGAAUAUAAAAAUAUAAGAAGAAACUCUGCCCAUAACAGUUAUAACAAAUGGCAUAACUAAAAUUAUUAUUGUUCAGCUGAUGUAAUACAAGACAAUCAAGUAAGUUACUAUAUUAUACUGAAAGUAAAAAAUGAUUCAAUUUUAUUAAAUACA